GAGGAUCCUAAACAUGUAGCGAAAUUUGCUGAACCUUUUAACGUUUUGGCCUCUGGGAUUAUAUCAAUUCCCAUCGACUUGCCAGGAACACCUUUCAACCGUGGCAUCAAGGCUUCAAACCUGAUAAGGAAAGAAUUGAGCGCCAUUAUCAAACAAAGGAAGAUUGAUCUUUCAGAGAAAAAAGCAUCUCCUACACAAGACAUACUGUCACAUAUGUUGUUAACAACCGAUGAGAAUGGGCAGUACAUGAAGGAAUUGGACAUAGCCGAUAAGAUUCUUGGUUUGCUCAUUGGAGGUCAUGAUACUGCAAGUGCUGCUAUCACUUUCAUCGUCAAGUACCUUGCUGAACUCCCAGAGAUCUACCACAAAGUGGUCACAGGUAAUCUUUUAUUAAAAGCAAAAAGACUUCAUUCAAAUUGAUAUCUAUAUAUCUUUAUUCAAAUCUAAUCACAUAUUUUGUGCUAACAACAUUGUUAAACGUGGCAGUCCAUUUCUCUUAAAUGUUAUACUCCGUUCUUACACUUUUCUUUUACCACUUAAAUGUUUUUUCAUUUUGCAAUUCUAUUCUCACCGUUAAUAAUUUUUUGCAAUUAUUUAUUGAAAUCAAUCUCAGUAUCCAUAGAUCCUUUUUCCUUAUUUUUUUGUAUUAAAAUUUUAAAAUAUUUUUAAGCUAAUAAUAUUUAAUGAUGUUUAAUGCUAAAAAAAAAAGCAAUAAUUUGAAGGCAUACAAUAGAGUGGGACUAAAAUUUUAAAGUAUUUAAUGAUGUUUAAUGCCAAAAAAAUUAAAAAAAAAAAAGGUGAAAACAUAUAGUAUAUAGAAUACAGUAAGAGCAUCAAGUAUUUAAAAAAUAAAAGAAUCAUCCCAAGGUAGAUGAUGAACAAAGAGAAUGCAAUAAAAGCAAAUUAUAAUUAAAUUGCAAGUUGUUAGUUAUUAUGGUACUCGAGACUUCUGAUAUCUUGAUUUUUUCCAUAUUCCUUCACUAUAUGCUCUUGACCAGAUGAAAUAAAAACAAAGUAGCAUCGAUAUAUGCACGCUUUUAGUCAGCAUAUUGAACCUUUGCUCUGAUUCUUGCUUUGAAUAUCUUAAUGUUGAUACUUUAAUUUUUUCCAUAGUUGAUUUUGAACUGACCAAUUCAGGGAAUUUGUUUAGUAUUAAAUCUUGUUUGUUCUGAAGGUUUGGGACCAUGAUGAUGUCCUUCCCUUAGGCUUAGCAAACUCAGUGUUCACACCUUAAAAUGACCAAAGUGCCCUUACUUCGGUACAAAGAUCAAUUAGUUGCAAGCAAAAUGUAACAAAGAGGGAAGAUAUUUGUCAAAUACACUUACAAAGGAGUUUUUUUAAUUUUACAAAUAGAGUUAAAAUCAAGUUUACUGUCAGUAUAUCGAAUAAUUUUUCAUAUAUAUAAAUAUAUAUAUAUAUAUUAUAUAUGUUUGACCAGGUUCCAUAUCCACCAAUUUGAUUUAGCAAUUUAGAAGAGACUCGGUACUGUAGAAUUCUUUAAAGUAUAUACACUUGAAGAUAAAGGAAUAAGAUGCAGCUUGAUAUUUCUGUCAAUUUGUGUUUACAGAGCAAGUAGAGAUUGCAAAAUCAAAAGCCCCAGGAGAGUUGCUGAAUUGGGAAGACAUUCAAAAGAUGAGGUACUCAUGGAAUGUGGCAUGUGAAGUAAUGCGUCUUGCUCCCCCGCUCCAAGGAGCUUUUAGAGAAGCCCUGAACGAAUUCAUCUAUGCAGGCUUCACCGUUCCAAAGGGCUGGAAGGUCAGUGAAAAACUUAACCAAAUUUGAAAUAGACUAAAGCACAUUUGUUCAUAUUGAUCAUACAAUAUCGACUAUUAUUUUUCUUAUAAUUAAAUCUAUAAUUCUAUAGUUGUACUGGAGUGCGCAUUCAACCCAUAGAAAUCCGGAAUGCUUCCCAGAGCCUGAGAAGUUUGACCCAUCAAGGUUCGAAGGGACUGGACCAGCUCCUUACACAUUUGUUCCUUUUGGAGGAGGACCAAGAAUGUGUCCAGGGAAGGAGUAUGCCCGCCUGGAAAUACUAGUUUUCAUGCACAAUAUUAUCAAGAGGUACAAAUGGGAAAAGCUUCUUCCUGGUGAGAAGAUCAUUGUAGACCCAAUGCCAACACCAGCAAAAGGGCUGCCGGUUCGCCUCUUUCCUCAAACCCACGUCCUGCCUAGUUUUUUGCCAUAGCUUUUCCCAAUUAUGUGAUCGUUUCCACGGCUCAAUGUCUAAAGUCAUCAGGCAUUUACAGCCAAGGGUUGUGUAAUAGUUGUAAUUGAAAAACAUUUUCUGCCAAUUAUGUGAUCGCUUCCAACGCUCAAUUUGUACUGAAGUCUAAUGACUUCAGUGCUGUUGUUGCCCAUUUGUAGUGAAAAAAAAAAAGUGCUUGUGUAAUAUUUGUAUUGAAAAAAAAUGUAAUAAGGAGUCUAUCUAGCCUUAAGUAAAAAUGUAAUAUUCGUAUUUCCUAAGCUUUCUAUAGAACAGAAAUUUCUAAUUUUUACAAGCAUGAAAAUAAAAAAAUAAAAAACAAUAUGACGGAGGUAUUAUCCAUUAAUGUUAGUUAUCCUUUUAACCAAUUAAAUGUGAAACAAUUUGAAAAUAUUGCGCCUGAAACAAUAAUCACAACAAUACAGAAGGCAAUAGACAACAAAUUAAUAAUAAAAAAUGCAGGAAAAAUAAAGUACACUAAGAUUUACGUAAAAAAUCCUCUAGUGUAGAGGGAAAAAAUUUACGGACUCACCAGAAAAAUCUUCACUAUCAAUAAUAGGUAUAACAAAAUUCUUCUCUAGCUAAAACUAAGAGCUAAUCAAUAAUUAGAGAAACAAUUAGAGAAUCUCACCAAUAAGUGACUCAACAAAUAAACCCUGGAUUUGUUCCUAGAGAGCUUCAAACUCGAUCUUCACCGUUUAGAAUGUAGAACUCUGAUCAUAAAGCUCUUGACAAGGUUCCAACUCAAUCGGACCACGGAUUGACUUCCGUUCAACCAACUCUCCCUUUUCCCUUUUUCUCUCUGUUUUUCUUGGCUUUUCUUCUUUCCUCUACUUGGUUUUUUGACACACUUAAAGUAACCUACUUCUUUUUAUUAAGUAGUUAGAACUCUGUAUAAAAUGAAAAAUCAAGGUCAUGAUCUUUACUUGAUCCAAAAUCACUUACAUGAGAUUGGAACUUCAUUUUUUUAUCAGAAAACAUAAUUGAAUUCGAGACGUGAAGAACAUAGAUAUUUGAGUUAAAUUUAUUAUCCAAAAAUUCAAACUUUGAUCGGAUUCUCGAUUCCUCCAUUUAAGUUAGAUUUAUUAUUAAUAUAUUGAACAAUUUUAGAAUUAAAAUUAAUUACAAUAUAUUAUUUAAUAAUAUAGCAAUAUUGUUUGGUCAGGCUCCAACUUGAAAUCAAAUCUUGUUUAUUAUAAAGUAAGUCAAGCCCACUUACAAAUUUGACAAAUAGUUCAACCUCUAAAACUCUAGGUUUCAGCGAUUUUCCAAUAAAUUUUCACAUGUUUUAAAUGAAAUAAACGGAAAAAGUUUUGAUUUUUACUAGCCUUUUCCUAGCUAUUUUUCUCAUUUCUUUCCACCUUAAUUAAACAUGAGAAACGAAAUGAUUGAAAAUUUCUUAUUCUUUUUCUCAAAAAGCCCACAAUGAAUGAAUUAUAUAGGAGAGGCGUUUAGUGUGAAGGGUAAUCAUUUUUUUUGAGAUGGAGGAGCUAGUGGGGGAAGAAAAAUUUUUAAAAGUUGUCACAUGCCUUUGGAUGAAGAUAAAAGAGAGAAGAAAUUAUAAGAAUGAAAGAACAUAUCAACUGGAAUGAAAGCCUUGGCACAUUUAGAGUCAAAAACCCUUCAUUUAGUGCUUUUCGUACUUUUGAUACUGACUUUGGAUACCCCCUGUUACACUUAAAAGAUUCACCUAAACCGACCCUAACCUUAGUCCAUCCUAGGAGGAGCGUAAAGAUUGGUUUGCGGAAAUACGAAUUUAGUCAAAGCUUGAGGCUGAACCAAAAAUUAUUUCCUAAGCUUCCUAAUAGAACAGAAAAUUUCUAAUUUCUGCAAGCAUUGAAAAUAAAAAAUAAAAAACAAUAUUACGGAGGUCUUAAUCCAAUAGCGUUAGUUAUCCUUUUUCCAAUUUAAAUGUGAAAUAAUUUGAAAAGAAAGUUGAGAAUUGAGAUGCGUAGAACAUAGAGAUUUGAGUUAACUCGGUAUGAAAAAUUAGUUAAUGCGCUUGGCUUCGCCGAGGAAAAUUUAUAGUGAAUUAAUUGUCAAAUAUAAUUUUAAAUUAUAUUACAUAUUAAAUAAUUAUUAUUAUUAUUUAAAUAAAUUUUAUUUUUGUAUAUUUUAAUAUUUGUAUUGAUAUUAAUAUAAUCAUAUUUUAUUAAUAAAAAAUUUUAAAUAUUUAAAAAAUAAUUAUUUUACAAAUUAUAUAAUACAAACGUAUUGACUUGAAAAUAAAUAUUAAUUUAUUAUUAUUGAAAUUUUAUUUAAAAUUUUUUAUUAAAUCAAUCAAAUUUUUUUAAAAAUUUCACAUAAAAUUUUUUUAAAAAAAUCAAUCAUUUGUAAUUUCUAAAAAUUUAGUUAUUUAAAUAAUUAUCAUUUACUUUCAAAGUUAUCAUUAACUUUUUUUUUGUCUUUUUAUCUCUUCUUUCUCUCUAGAAUAGGAUGAACUUUGGACCAGAAACAUCAAACAUUUCUAAAUUCCGAUGACAUUUUUCAUAUUUCAGCAAACAUUUGUCAUUGUUGCCAUCAUUUGUCGUUGAUGGUAACUGUCACCAAUGCUAAAAAUUUCAAAAAAAAAAAAAUUUUGAAAUCUUAAUUUUUUCUAACUUUUCUUUUCCUUUUCUUUUCCAACUUCAAUUUUUUCUAAAAGAAAUCUUAAUUAAUCUUAGAUCUAAACUCUAAGCCACAAUUCAAAACCUAAAAAAAAAAUUAAAAUAAAAACUUAUCUUCGUCACUCAAAAACUCCAACUUUUUGUAUAUUUUUCCCCUCUCUUUGGCCUUCUUUUUUGGCAAAUAUUAAAAAGAAAAAAAAGCUUCAUUAAUUUAUAAAUUCUAUUUUUUAUAAAAAUUUUAUUGAAAAGAUAUAUAUAUAUAUAUAUAUAUUAUAUCAUUAGUAUUCCAAGAACCAAUACACAACUUUUUCUUGACUGAACAAAAAAAAAUAUUGAGAAAUAUAUUUUAUUUCAAAAUUUAUGCAAAUUAAAAAUAACAUAAAACUUAAAAUAUCUUGAAUUUUUAAAAAUCGAUAAAUCAAUUUAAACAGAAGAAAUUUGAUUUAGGUUGACUCAAUUAGGAAAAGCAAUUUGAUUCAAUUUUGGUUUGGUUUUUGACAAACAAAAAUAUUGCGCAUUAGCCAUAAUAUUUGUUUAAAAUUGAGUCAAAUUCGAACCCUAAUCAACCUUAAUAAUCACUUACUAUAAAGGUAAAUAAUUUUACAUUACCAAUUGACACAAUAUAAGAGAGAUAUUGUGCAUCAAUUUAACUUUUAAAAAAAUAUAUAUGUGAUUUUUUAGAAGUAAAACAUAAGGAUAUUUUUAUACUUGUUAUAACGUAUAGAUUCGUAAACCCAUUUUAAACAUACACUUUAGGAGUUAUCACCAAUUUUGUUAUUUAGAUGUGAUUAGACAACUAACCAAAUCUAUCCCAUUUUAAAGAUAAAUUUUAAGUUUGAUUAAAGAGAAAUCCUAUGUUUGAUUUAAGUAUUUUUUAAAUAGUAGAUUUUAGUCUUCCUAACUAAAUUUAGGUUCAGAAGUGCGAUUAUGCAUGAGGAGAGUUAUAACACUCUCAUAACGUUCAUCCAAAAGAUGAUACCAAUUUGAUUUCAAGUUAUCCAAACUUUAAAACAUCUUUAUAAUUUACCAAAUAAUUUAAUUAUUGAAGAUCUUAAAAUUACUCUAAUAGUUUGGUAGCAAUUUAAGAUAAUUUUUUCACCUUAAAAGUAUUCAUAGAGACUAGUAUCCCACUCUGAAGAGAUUGCAUCAUGGGAUUCAGUUUUUCUUUUGUAAAAAAAAUUUUAUUUGUGAUAAUGAGAUUUUGAACUUGGGUAUAAAAAAUUAUUAUAUAAAUUCUUCAAUAUGUUGGUAAAAUUUUAAAAAUAUUUUUUCAUUUAAAAAUUUACAUAAAGAAUGUUAUUUGUAGUGCUUUUAGUAUUCUAUCAUUGGAGAUUCACAAUCUAUUUUUUAUAAAAAUAAUUUAUUUUCAGAAUAUGUUAGUAAGAUUUUCUGUCAAAAAUUAUCUUCCAAUAUGUUAGUAGGAUUGAAAAAUUAUUUGUUUAAAAAAAAUUCAUUUAAAUCAUUCAAUACUUUGGUAGGAUUGAAAAGUUGUUCUUUGGACAACCCUUUCUCUUUAAAUUUAAAAAAUUAUUAANNNNNNNNNNNNNNNNNNNNNNNNNNNNNNNNNNNNNNNNNNNNNNNNNNNNNNNNNNNNNNNNNNNNNNNNNNNNNNNNNNNNNNNNNNNNNNNNNNNNNNNNNNNNNNNNNNNNNNNNNNNNNNNNNNNNNNNNNNNNNNNNNNNNNNNNNNNNNNNNNNNNNNNNNNNNNNNNNNNNNNNNNNNNNNNNNNNNNNNNNNNNNNNNNNNNNNNNNNNNNNNNNNNNNNNNNNNNNNNNNNNNNNNNNNNNNNNNNNNNNNNNNNNNNNNNNNNNNNNNNNNNNNNNNNNNNNNNNNNNNNNNNNNNNNNNNNNNNNNNNNNNNNNNNNNNNNNNNNNNNNNNNNNNNNNNNNNNNNNNNNNNNNNNNNNNNNNNNNNNNNNNNNNNNNNNNNNNNNNNNNNNNNNNNNNNNNNNNNNNNNNNNNNNNNNNNNNNNNNNNNNNNNNNNNNNNNNNNNNNNNNNNNNNNNNNNNNNNNNNNNNNNNNNNNNNNNNNNNNNNNNNNNNNNNNNNNNNNNNNNNNNNNNNNNNNNNNNNNNNNNNNNNNNNNNNNNNNNNNNNNNNNNNNNNNNNNNNNNNNNNNNNNNNNNNNNNNNNNNNNNNNNNNNNNNNNNNNNNNNNNNNNNNNNNNNNNNNNNNNNNNNNNNNNNNNNNNNNNNNNNNNNNNNNNNNNNNNNNNNNNNNNNNNNNNNNNNNNNNNNNNNNNNNNNNNNNNNNNNNNNNNNNNNNNNNNNNNNNNNNNNNNNNNNNNNNNNNNNNNNNNNNNNNNNNNNNNNNNNNNNNNNNNNNNNNNNNNNNNNNNNNNNNNNNNNNNNNNNNNNNNNNNNNNNNNNNNNNNNNNNNNNNNNNNNNNNNNNNNNNNNNNNNNNNNNNNNNNNNNNNNNNNNNNNNNNNNNNNNNNNNNNNNNNNNNNNNNNNNNNNNNNNNNNNNNNNNNNNNNNNNNNNNNNNNNNNNNNNNNNNNNNNNNNNNNNNNNNNNNNNNNNNNNNNNNNNNNNNNNUGGAUGAAAAUGAGAAAAAAAAAGAGAUGAUGAAAAAAAAUAAAAAAAAAUAAAGAAAGAAGAAAAAAAUGAGAAAAUGAAAAAAGAGAUUCAAAUUGAAAACCUGAAAGGGUGAUUUAAGUAGAAAAAGAUCCAGGUCAAAUGGUUCACAUGAAUGAAAGAUCAAAGAUCUGAAGAUCCCUUAAAGACUGGGGCAAAGUUCGCCAAGCUCAAGAUGACUUCAACAGUAAAUAGAAUAAGUUUUUGAAAAAGAAUCCUAGAUUAAUGUUGAGAAUUGUCUGAAUAUUCAUCAUUUGGACAUACCAUUCAUCCCAAUGACAUGUAUCCAAUUUAUUUCCUUUCCCAUUUAUUUUGUACCAAAUAGAUCUUCAUUGAUUAUCUUUACCAUAAUUCACCUUGUGUUCUCUUAUUGUUACACCCCUAGAAUGAAUUGAAAAAAUGCUUGAUUGCAUUGUAUUUAUCGAGAAUUGAAAUGAUAAUGAAUGAAUGAAUAUGUGUUUAAAAGAGUAUUGCAUUCAUUUGAAAAGAAAUCUAAGAUGACGGUGGUAGAAACCUAAAAGCGAUGAUUUGAAAGGAUAUAUGAUGUGACCGAAUGGAGAAUAUGAUGGGGCAAAUCUUGAAAAGUGGUAUAACCAAGUGAUGAGUACAAGGAUGAAUUGGUCGAUAUGACUUGCAAGUUAUGAUUGAAUGAUGAAAACAAUCAGUGGACAAAGUUUGUUUUGGAAUGGUUAAUGCUGAGACACCUAUAAAUAAUGACUUAGUAACGGUGGAUGAAACUUGUUCUGAAAUUUUUUUUAGUGCUGAGAAUUCUAUGAAUGGUGGUCAAGUGAUGAUCGAUUGAUAAAACUUAUUCCAAAGUAUUGAGAAACUGAACAAGGAAGACAUACGAAAAUGGUGGAGUUUUGAGAGCCAUAUUACCACAAUUAUUUAAGAUUCCAUGACAUUAUUGACGUCUGCAUUACAUGCAUCAUGGGGGCAUCAUUGCUUGAAUAAUACAUGCACAUAAUUUGAUUGGAUAUGAAUGGCACUAUGAGAUAUAGGUUAUUGUAUUUGCAUUAUUACAAAGGCAUCUACAUCUUUGGUCAUAACAUUCAUUCAUGCAAAUUUUUGAGUCACUUGAAAAAAAAUUAUGAAUAUUUUGAUGAAAAUUUUUGAGAACUUCAAAUGAGAAUCUUUGAGGAGUGGAAAACCCUAAAGUUCAUCGAAUGUGAAUCUUUGGAACAAAUGGAAAAGUUUUGAACUUUUGGAUGGUGGAUCCUGCCAAUAGUACAAACUUCAACCCUUUUGGAUAUGAAUUCCUAAUGUUUUUAAAUGAGAGCCUUUGAAAUUAGAUGGUUAAACUCUAAGUUUUAUUGCAUAUGAGGCCUUUGAACUCAAAUGAAAAGCUUUUGAAUUUUUGGAUGGUGAAUUUUCCAAAAUUUUAAUGAAAAGCUUAGGACUUUUGGAUAUGAAUUCCAAGUUGCCAAAUAAGAAUCUUUUAAAAAGCUUUUGAACUUUUGGAUGUGAGCCUUCAAAAUUCAAAUGAGGAUUUUUUAUGCGAGUUUUACAAGUUACAAAUGCAAAUCUUGAGAUCUUGCAAAUUUGAGAAGAAAUUUGUUAGGUAAGUUCCUAAUUCUUGAAAUAGGAUGUCUUUUGGUAUCAAGAUUGAUUUGUAAGACUUUUGGGCAUAAUCUCCUGAAAUUCCUUCAAACACAAGACAUGAUUGUCGAUGAGCAAUUUACUUUUUCAAAGUCGUGGUGCCUCUGUUUAGAGGAGCAAUUUACUUUCCAAAGUCGUGCGUGGUCUUCUGUUUAGAGGAGUAAUUUACUUUCCCAAAGUCGUGGUGCUUAUAUUUAGAGGAGCAAUUUAUUUUUUUUCAAAGUUGUUGAGCCUCUGAUUAGACGAGCCAUUUAUGUUUCUCAAAGUCAUUGAGCCUCUACUAGAGGAGCUUUGAUCAAAAACAAAAAAAAAAUAAAAAAAAAAACAAAAAGUGAAAAGGUCGAGUUGAGUCUUUAUUGGGUGUUUACGUCUUUGCGCAAUUUCUGUUUUACAGAAAAUGUGCAAAGAAGGGCAGCUGUAGACACCCAAUUUGGUCCAAGCUCGGAUCAAUUGGGCCUGGUCCAAAUGGGUAAGCCCCAAUUUUGUUUUAUAUUUUUGUUAUUUUUAUUUUAUAUUUUAUGUAUAUAUUUUCCUUUAUAUCCUAUGUAUUUAUUAUUUAUUUAUUAUUACUAUUUAUUAAUAUAUAUUUUUAUUUUAUUUUAUUUUAUUUUUUUUCUCUUUCUCAUUUUAUUUUAUAUGUAUUUUUAUUUAUCUAAUAUUUAUCUGUUAUUUGUAUUUUUUUAUUUAUCUUAUAAUAUUAUUGUUGAUUUAUCUUAUUAUUAUUUUUUUACUUAUCUAUUAAUUUUUUUUAUCUGAUUUUUAUUUUGGAAGGCUGAGAUUGAAUUCUGUUGAAGAAUCCUACUGAGAAUGAAGAUUCAAUCAAAAUCCAGAUUGGAUUCAAAAAUUGAAUCUCCGUCCAAAAAAGAAUAUGGAUUGAUCAGAAACUCUUCUGAUCAAUCCCUAUAAAUAGAUACAGAACACAAAAGCAAAGGGACAAAAAACCAAUGAGCAAAAAGCUACUGAUUUGAGAGAAAAGAGGCGUAUAGAAGAGUAUAGAAGGCUAAGAAAAUGUUUAGAAGUGUUCUAGGAGUUAGCAAAAUUUUUUGAAGAUUUUUUGUGAUUUUUUUUCUAGGAAUUUCUGGAAAAUUCUAGAUUUCGGUUGAAUUUUUCGACGAAAGUUGCAUUUUUCGACAACGAUUCCAGCCAACUUUGAAGUUUUCGACGAGCUGUCCAGUUUCUGGCGAAUGAUCCAGAAAUCGAUCAACUUUCUGGCGAACGUUCGUUUAACUUCUGACGAAAAAUCUAGAUUCUGACAAAAAAUCCUAGAAUCCGAUGAAUAUUUAACCGGAGUUUUUCGAUCGUUUAGAGAGAAGCGAGAGAAAACGGAAAGAAGAGAGAAAGGGGAGAGAAGGUUUCUAUCGAAAAACAGAGGGAAGAGCCUUAUAUACCCUCCCAAAAUGACGUCAUUUUUGCCUUAAGUAACCUAGAGGAUUCGCGUAUUUUGCCGAGAUCCGACCCGACCCGAGCAUCGACACGCUUUUGGACCCGCGCGUGUUCCCCCCUCCGAGCCGAUAGCCGAGCAAGCCAAGGUCCUAAGCCGUUUCUCUGAGCCGUUUUCUCUUCCUUGAGUCGAGCCGAGUCGAGCCAUACUCCGAGCCGUUUUAGGUUUUUUUUUUAUUUAUUUGUUUAUUUAUUUAUUUAUUAGAUUAGGUUUAUUUAAUAUUCUUCUAUCUUUAUUUUAUUUUUGUUUUUACUUUUCUUUAUUUAUUUUUUUCCACUUUUAUUUUACUUUAUUAUUCUAUUUUCUUUAAAUAAAAAUCAAAAAUAUUUUUUGGGAAAGGUUGAAAGUAUCAAUUUUCCUUGAAAAUCAAAGUUUUCAAAAAAAUAUUUUUGGGAAAAAGUUGAAAGUAUUAAUUUUUCUUAAAACUAAAUUUCCAAAAAAAUAUUUUUGGGGAAAAGUUGAAAGUAUCAAUUUUACUUAAAGAUAAAUUUUCAAAAAAUCAAUUUUUGAAGAAAAGUUGAAAGUAUCAAUUUUCCUCGAAAUUAAAGUUUCAAAAGAAUAUUUUUUUUGAAAAAAGUUGAAAGUAUCAAUUUUCUCUGCACAAAAAUAAUCAUUCUUUCCUUUUUUUUAUUUUGAUUUUGAUUUUGAUUUUUUCUUUAAAUAAUUCGACGAUGGAGCUUCUGCAAGUGAAACAGUAGUUUUUCUUGCAUACUCUUGAGGUGAGGAAAUUUUCUCAAUUUUUUGCUAAAAGUAUUAGAGUCAAUUGAGAAUAAUUUCUAAUAAUUAAUUACUUGGUAAGAUUUUAAGGUUCAUUAGAUAACACAAAUUUAAGCUGGUACCAUCUUUUGAUGGGUGUUGUGAGGGUGCUAUAACUUUCCUCACACGUAACCGAACUCUCGAACCCUGUUCUGGUUAGUAGACCUAAACCUAUUCUUUAGACCCUUAACUUUAGUGGUUUCCCUGAAAGGAUAGAUUUCAUAGGUGGUCAAUCGCACCUAGAUAAAAAAGAUUGGUGACAACUCCUAAAAGUCAAUGUCUAGCGAUAAAUCUUCGAAUCUAGACGUUAUGACACUAUAUACUGAUAGUGUAUCAAAUAUAAACUCUUUUUAUUAUUGGUAAGAAAUCAAGUUGAAACAUUUUUUUUAUAUUCUUUACAUUUUCUAAAAUAAAAAGACAGGGAUGAAAAGAAAAUGAGUUUUUUUUUUUUUUGUUUUUAGAAAAGACACUAGAAUGAGGGUUUGUCAUUUUUUAAUUUUUUGCCGAAGAAAAGAAAUAAAGGAAAAUAACAAACUUUUUAAAGAUGAAAUGAGACUACUCUUUUUUUUAGAGGAGAAAACACAAAUUUUCUUAUUCCAUUACAAAUAUGUAAAUUUUUUCAUUUCUUGAAACUUUUUUUACGCAACAUCCUUUUUUAGGAAAAUUUUGAAAAUGCAUAAAUAUGAAAAAAAUAGCAAUACCAAUAAAAAAUUUUCAUUUGAAACAAAGGAAACAAAGUUGUUUUUCAUUUUUUAAAGAUAUUUUGUCUUUUUUUUUUUUUAAGAAUUGCAUACAUAUUCAUUAUAAAAAGCAUUAUAAAAAUUUUUCCUCAUUUGUUUUAAUUAGGGUAAUUUUUGCUAAAAGGUUGGCAUGAUUCUACCUAGGGCUGGCUUGUUAAGGUCUACUAUAUGCUAGAUUUUGAUUCAUACACAUCUAAAGGUUUUCAAUUUGUUUCUCACUAGCAUUCACAUUGGACUAGUAAGACACCAUAUCUUCAUCCAAUACGUGUUACAAAUAAAUAUAGUUCAAUUUGAAUGAAAGUAUUUCGUUAGCCAUUAUAAUGAUUAUGAUCUUAUGAGAGUAUAAAUAAUUUACUCUCUUCCAAAAAAGAUGGAGCUCGGAUAUAUAGUUCAUGCAUAAGAUACAAUGCGCUUAAAAAGUACAAUUUAAAUUCAUUAAAAAAAUAGAGCAAACUUAUUGAAAAAUAAAGCAUUAGAAGGCAGCUAUAGCAUGUCACAUACCUUGAAGAUUUUGGCAAGAUAUGAGCGGCUGAAUUAGAUUGACUUUUAGGAACCCUAGUUCCAAAAGUCCAAACUAAACAUCAGAUUUUUUACCUUUGGGCCAUGGGGACCAUUUCCGAUUAAAUUUGACAUAUAUAAGCCACAAGUCGACAAGUAUUUUACAAUACAUCACAAACCUAUGGUGACAAAUUAACUUUUUGAAUGGACUACAAUUUUUUGUGGAAAAUUAAUAGUUCAAAGUACGUAACUAUAAAAGCACUUAACUUUUGUCUGUGAUUGAGACUUUAUAAGGAGCAACAAGAAAGGCCAUGGAACACCUUCACCUUUCUCCAUGCAAACUGAAUUAUCUUGAUCACGUUAACAAUACAAUUUGUACAACAAGGUGUAUGUAUUGAGUGUUUACAAGGAGCAAAAAACCAAAAAAAAAAGGCUAUGGGGGCAGUUGCGCCCUUUGAGAUCCUAUAACAUUAGACUUUGUUAUAAAAUUCGUUAGAAAAUUUUAAUUCUUCUGUAGUUUGCCCUCAUUGAAAAGGAAAAGAAAUAAAAUACAUAUGACAUCCUUAUUAAAGUUAGAAAGACUGAAAAUAUAAUUAUAAUAAAAAUAAACUAUUUUACAAAAAUAAUAAAAUCCCAUUUGCAAAUAUAAAUAAAAUAAACUUUUAUAAAUAAUUUUUUUAAAAGCCAUCAUUUCAUUUAGAAAACAAUAAAAGUCAACCAAAAAAUGGUUUUCUUUCUACUCCACCUCUUUCAACCUUUCUCAAACUCAUAAGAUUUAUGGUUAGUAGAGAAUAGAACUUGAGAAACAACAAGACAAAGAAAAACUAAAAAUUCAAAGAAACAAAUUAAGAAGUGAACCAUUUUUUCUUUUAACUAUAUUCAAGUAAGUAUUUUUUUUGUAAUUUUUUUCAUUGUUUUUUUAUUAUUUGUUAAUGUGAUAAAAUAUUUAUUUAUGAUUUAAAAUUUUUCAUAUUGACAAAAUAAUUUGAUUGAGGGUGUAAUUUAUAAUUUAUUUAUAUUUAUAUGAAAUGUGAAUUAAGAUUAAUAAUAUUGUAUUUUCUUGAAGUUUAUCAAUAAAGUUAUUUAAUUUUUAUGAAGUUGUUUUUCAUAUAUAAAAUUAUUUUAUUUAAUUAAAAUUUAAAAUCAAAACAAAAUAAAAUUAAGACAAAAUUAUUAAAUCUGAAGAAGACAGAAAAAAAAAAAAAAAGACAAAAUGGUUCAAUAAGGAAAAGAACGUAUUUAUUUUAUCAUGCACAUUGCUUUUCUUAUGUGAAGCAUAAGGUUGAAUGCAAGGAUCAUACAUAUUCUUUUUGCUACAAAGUUAAUAUCAAAUCUUCCUGGUAACGAGAAAAUAAUAUCAUAAACUCAAAACAUUUGAAAAUAAAAGUCUUGACAGCUAUAACCUCGAACUGCGUAAAAUAAUUCAAGGAAUACGUAAGUAAACAUAAAACGACUUUUGCCUGUACUCACUGAUUUGUAAAUGUAAAAUUUAUGCUUUUUUAUUCUGACAUUUAUUUAAUAAACAUUGAAAUUAUCCUAGAAUUGGAGCAGAGUAGAAAGCUAGAAUGAAAUAAAAAAACUCCUGCUUACAUGAUUACAAAGCCAUCAGUCCCUCGAUUCGAAAUAUGGUUCUUUGCAUUGGUUGCUGCGAAGCACUCUCACAAACCGUAGCCUUACUUAAAGCCCCAAAAAACUGAGGAAAAAAGGGGGAGAAUAGAAUGGAAUAAAACACCAUCUUAGUCAAUCCAACUUUGUGCCUUAUACUUUUGGAGAUUUAAAAAAAUGGAUCAUGCAUCUUACUUGUAAUCAUGCUAGCUUCUGUAGCUUUUUCCUACAUGGAAAAGGGGAAAUUUAUUAAAAAAAAUAGAUAAAAGGCAGAUACAACACAACCAGCAAGAUAAGGGGAAAUAAGAAAUUGCAUCAGUGGGAGAUAUUACAUACAUUCUUUUAAUCAAUUACUCCAAAACUGUUAUUUAGAUUCACAAACCUCAUAGGUAGAAGCGACUUCUUGGUUGUCCUGAAGAAAUAAAGAAAAUAUAAUGCAAUUUUCGUCAUACUAGCAGUAGUCACUUUAAAACAGUGGCCAUAGUAGUAGUUUUCAUCGUACCCUUCAUAUAGAAUAUAAAACUCUAAUUAACAGUUACCUGCUGGAAGUAAAAACAGAUUUAUGAUCUGAAUUCUUGGUUGUAACAUGUUGGCCAUUCGAGGAGGUCAUCGGCUCUUUAACAUCUUCUGUUCUCAGAAACCAAACUUGCCUAUAUGUUGUUUAAUCAGUGUAAGUGACCAAAUAACUUUAUAAAUAAUAGCAGACUACCUGUCAUAGAAGUAUUAAUUCCAAUAGCAACUUGGUUUAGAUGGUCCCUCUCUUUUCCCUAUUUUAAAAGAAAUUUUGAAAUAGAUCAAUUCCUUUGUAAUAGCAUGAAAGGAAAACAAAAAGUGAUGACAUCAAGAGAACUAAAAUGAGGGAUCAGUGCAACCCCAGUAAUACUUCAAAAGGCUGUCUCUUGCUUGUAGUGGACAAUCAAAAGAACAUAUCAAAACUACCAUAUGAAUUUUUUUCAGUAAUCGUGGACUAGAUUUUCAUGUGGAAUUUUUUUCAUUAAUUGGGGACAAUCAAUGAACAUAUCAAAUCUCAAUGCCUUUUUCCAUUCAUCUUGUAACGUGUCUUUAAAUCGUGCUUUACGUGUAUCUUCCCAUAAUACACCAAAGAUGUAUAUUCUUGAAAUUAGAAGAAUUUUUUCUAAUAGAUAAUAAAAAAUUCGUCAUUAUCAUCUUGAAAUAAGUAAAUUCAAAUAAAAUAAAAAUAUAUUUAUAAUAUUUGAUGUUAAAAAUUACUUGGAAUUUCUCCCAUAAGCUCAUCUUGACAAAUGGAGGAAUUUUCUUCCAUGUUGGCUGCGCACUGUUAUAGUAAUCUUUAAUCAAUCUCGUAAUUGUUCAGACAAUUGCAAGUUUCAAGAAAUUGUUGUAUAUAACUUAUUAAUUUCAAUAAUAUUAAUUAUUUAAUUGAAUAAACAAAUAAAAUAAACAAUUUAUAAGGACCUUAUCUAUUUUGUAGACAAGCAAUCGGCAUCCUUUCGUUUAGGUUUCUAGAGUGGGUGCACACUAACUAGAUCCUCUAGUCCGUUUGCACAAGCGCUAGGGUGCGUAGGUUUCAAUACCAUUAAUAAAGCCAAAUGACUGUUGCUCGACGGAUGGCAUACCUUGUGUUGGAUAAUCUGUGGCUGGAGUCUCAGUCAUUGAAGGCUCAUAACAUAGAUCCUUUUAUGCUAGAGGGUCUACUGGUGGAGGCUAGACCACCUAUGGCUGUCUAAAUUCAAAGUGCACUGGUGGAGAAUUUAGGUGAGUAGCGCCUCCGAAUAGUGCCCUUCAUCAAGAUGUAGAUUCUGAUCCACCGACUUUUUAUUUAUUAAAAGUUUUUCCUGUAAGCAUUAUAACUGCAAAAUAAAACAUAUAUAGUUAAUAGUUAAAUUAGAUUAAACAAAAUAUAACAUAUAUUAAUAGAAUGUAAUUUAUUUAAUAAUAUAUUUACAAACACAUAUCAAUAACAUAUACAAUUUAAUUAAGAAUAUAUCAACAACAUAAAGGAACAUGUAAGAGAACGUUUUAUAAUAGCAUAUUGUAUUGUAUGUAAAAAAAUAUCACAAAUAAUACAGUUAUGUACAUGUAAAUUUCUAUAUAUAUCGAAUGUCAUCUUAAUUAUCUUCAUCAUAAUCUUCUUAAUCAUCUUCUUCGUCAUUUUCUUCAUUAUCUUCUUCUCUAUCUUCAUCUUCUUCAUCUUCUUCCUUGUGAUCUUCAUCUUCAAUUUAUUCUUUUUCUUCAUUUUCUGUUUGUGCUUGUUCUUCUUUAUCAAGUUGUUCUUGUACAUUAACCUCUUGAUAAUUACCAAGAACAAGAAUUCUUAAAUUGUUAAGUUCCUCUAAACAUGUAACAACUCUCAUAUUAGAUACUCCCAUUUCUUGAUAAACCCUUUCAUUAAGGUUAAUUAUAUCUGCAUCAUGAUUAUUGGAGUUAAAUCUACUCCUAGCCUUUGUCUUAAACACAGCCUGCCAAUCUUGUCGAGCUUUCUUUUUAGAUGGACAGCCAUUAUAGCACACUUGCUGAUCUUGGUCAGCUAACAAAAAUGGUUCGUUACUUGCAAAUACUGAAUUGUAUUUAAUUUCAACAAGACCAUGUUGGGGAUCUACAUGAACACCUUUUUUUUUUUUUAUUUCAAACCAAUGACAUUUAAAGAGUACAAGUUUAUUGCCAAUCCUAAAAUAUACCAAAUCGAUGAUAUAUACACAGAUGUCAUAAAAGUUCAAAAUCAUUGUAACAACUUCCUUUCAUGCAUACACUAUUAUUCAUUAUUUUUCAGGUUUGUCCAUAAUAUAAUGUAUGAGACUUGUAACCAAUGACAAAGUAUCCUUGAUAACACCUAGCCAUAAAUCUUGGUCCAUAAGAGAGCUUAAUGAUACGAUGAUUAGUUUUAUUAGCAUGUUCUUGAACAUAGAGAAAUUUACACAAUAAAUUGAUAAUAUUCUUAUAUUGCAAUGUAUUACAACAAUUCAUAGUUUUAAGUUGAACCUUAAACUUACAAAUUGUUUAAAAUAUUUUUAAAUCUUGCUUCAUGUGCUUUCUCCAAAUCUUCAUCAUUCGUCAACUAUGCAUCACAUAUUAACCCUUCAACAUAUGCCUGAUUUUUUACUUUUUUCUUGAGAUGAUUCAAAAAUCUAAUCAUCAUAGUAGAAAUAAAAGUGAUCAACAACAAUUCGAUUUAGGGUUGAUUAUCUUAAUAAUAAUUUUUUGGGAAAUUUACUACCUUUCAAAUAGAUACAAUUAUUGAUACUGUAAAGGUCCACCAACUUUUACCUUGUAUGGUAAGUUAAUCAGUAGAUACUCCAUACAAUUAAAGAAACUUAAAGGAAAUAUAUUACUCUAAUUUGCAAAUUGUUUCCACAAUGUUGCUUUGCAAUAGCAACAUCUAAUCUAUAUGUAAUUUAGUGGAGCAUAAAUCUCAAAAUAAAUGAGAUAACUCAAUUAUUUAUCCAAAAUUAAGUUAGGUAGCAAGUUAUAAAAAGCAGUUGGAAGUAAUUGUUACAAAAAAAAUGACAAUCCUGACUUUUCAUCAUGAGAAACUUGUCUUCAUCAACAUUUACACAUUGAGCUAUGUUCGAUGCAAACCCAUCAAGAAGGUCUUAACUAUUUCACCCAAGCAUACACUAUUUUUUUAUCAUCCUUGCUCAAAGUGUAUGAUGCUUUAGGCUUGAAUGAUUUCCAAUUUCUUUCCACCAAUUUCUAAUUCCGUUUGUCUAUAGUAGAUUGUCAUAUCUAAUCUUACAUUAAUGUUGUCAUUCAUUUUGCCUUUGACAUCCAUAAUUGUGUAGAAUAAAUGUCAAACACAUUUUUUUCAAUAUGGCAUAAUAUAUAAAUUAUAACGAAUUAGAUUGGUAUGCCAAUAAGGUAAUUCCUAAAAUAUAAUUUACAUCAGUGUGCCAAUUAAGCUUUUGUUUAGAGCAUUUUGUGCCAAAUGUGAUGUCAUCUAUGCAAUCAAUUUGUUUUAAAAUUUUUUCACCUGACAAUCUCUAAAUUAGAAGAUUGUGGUCAACUCUUUUGUCAAAUUUAUUUCUUUGUCUCCUAAAAGGAUGAUUACAAGGCAAAAACACCGAUAACAAUAAAAAAAAAGGCUUCUUUCCACGAUCUAGUUUGAUGCCUUUGUAUGUCUCAUGCAAUAAAGACACAAAUAAUUUCUAUGAGUACUUUGUCUAGAUAAAAUACCAUACAGAAGAAAGUCAUUAAUUAUCCAUAACAAUGUUGCCUUUAAAAGAAUGUUGUUUUAAAAGAGCAUCAUAAUUCUCAACACUAUUAUAUCACAACAUUUGUAACUCAUCUAUCAAAGGUUUUAAAAAAACAUCUAUAUUUUGUGAAGUACUACUCUCUUCCAAGAUGACCAUAUUAGAGAACAAAUAUGGUUACUUCAUGCACAUCCAUGGAGAUAAAUUACAGAUAACAAGUAUAACUGGCCAAGAAGAAUAAAAUCUUGUGCCUUGACCAAAUGGACAAAACCCAACGAGACAUAAACUGAGUCUCACAUUCCAAGGUUCAGCUUCAAAAGAUUCAUGUGUAUGAUUGAAAUAUUGCCAAGCCUCGAUGUCAACUAGGUGAAUAGGCACUUCUUUAGGACUUCAAUUACACACAUGCCAUAUCAUAGACUUUAUAGUUAUUUUUUACCCAACUUUUGAAAUCUUAGCAUAAGUGACAAGUAACGUAAAAUAUUGAAAGGAAUUUUCUUUCACCUAUCCCCACUUGAUUUGCUCGAUUCAUAUCGAGGAUGAUCACAUACCAAACAAUAGAUUAAAUUGGCAUUCUCUUUAUAAAACAAUAUGUAAUUAUUCUCACAUGCAUAUAUUUUAAUUAAAUCAAGGCCAAAUUUUACCAUGUUCUACUUUGUUUGAUAGAAGUUUUUGAGUAAAUUAUCAUCUUCUAGAAGCAUACCUUUUAUCAUCACCAUGAGACUAUCAAAGCAUGUUUUCACUCGUGUUAAACUCCAACUUACAAUUUAAAAGUAGAGACACAAUAGAUAAUGUCCUGUGCUUUAUGUAACCUGACCACAACAAUUCAUCUACAUCAUUCGUUAAAGAAAAAAAAUUUAUGCCUCGUAAUUCAAUUGUACCUGUUUGUUUCUUGACUCACUAUCAAAAUUUGAAUGUAGCGCAUUCAUUACCAUUUUGGUAUAUGGAUUUUUUAUUUCUACUUGACAAAUUGGAUCAAAUCCUUGAUCUUUACUUUUUGAUGAUUGACCUUGUUUAACUUCUCUAAGAAAGUAUCAAUUCACGUAACCAACAACAAAACUUGACAAAAUCGAUUAUUUUAACAUUUGUUGUAAGGGCACCUAAUUCUAUUCUCACUAAUAAAAUUCAUUUGAUAAAAUGCAAAAUUGAUAAACUCUUCGACUCUUUUUAAGAACUCUAUUCAUAAUAAACCCAUUUACAUUUAACCAAUUAUAUAUUUAACUUCUUUCCUUAUCCAUUUUCAAUCCUCUACUAGAAUGCCAUGUCAACCUGAUCAGGUAGAGUGAACGUGAGAUGAAUUAGAUAUUCACGUCAAAUAAAUCAAAUGAUCAAAAUAUCCUUGAUAUUUUAAAAUAUUUUUUUCUUAACAAAAAAAAAUCAUUUUGCCCUUGAGGUUUAUAAUGUGCACAUAAAAAAGAAAAAGGGUUAAGUGGUUUUUGACUUUAAUUAAUUUGUCUUUGUUUAGAGAUGUGAACUUAAUUAGAAAAAAACAUUUUAAAUCGAAUCAAAUCAAAUGUAAAUGGACGAAAUAUCGGGGCGUGAAUAGAAUGCUAUGCUGGUUUAUUUAUUUGCUAGACCUAAACGAAAUCCUUUGGCAGAGCGUUAUUGACUUUGCAACGUCUAGACCUAAUCGAAAUUCUUCGGCUGAGCGUUGUUGACUUUGCAACUUACAAUCAUAUAUUUCAAGCUUUUUCAUCCAUCUAAAACUUGUAAACGUAGACUACGAUUGCGAUGAACAUUUUAGCAUUUUGUUUUAUAUGCCAACCUAAAAGCUUGACUACUGCCUAUUGCCAAAUUGGUUGACUAAUUAGAUUGAUUAUUUCUUCCUUUCACUUCCCGUGAUUCUUUUAUUUAUUUUUUAUUUUUUAAUAUAUUAUAUAUUUUUUUUGUUUCAUUUUCUUUAUCUAUUUUUUUAAGUUUUGAAAAUGUGUUUUAAUUUUUUUUCUCUUUUAAACGCUAAUUAAUACUCACUUUUGAUAAAUUAUUUUUUUAUGAAACAUCACUUUCUAAAAAAUAUAAAACUUUUAUAAAACGUACGCUAAAAUCAAAUUUUUUAUUGAAAAAAAUACUUUGAAAGUGAAAUGAUGUGGGUUAUUCACGAAAAUAGCUUAUCAGUCUGUGACCCUUCUGUAAAUUUCAUCCACGAAUUUUCGAAUUUAUUCUAAAUCUAUAAAUUUGUCAACGCGUUCAAUAUGAACAGAAUGUGCGAAGUGAAGGACAUAUGGAUGGAAAAAUCUAUGGAAAAAAAUCAUGGGCCAGUAGUGCUAUGAAUUCGAAUUUGUUGCUGAGUAGUUUUAUCUGUGCGUCUGCCCCUGCAUGUAGUAUGAUGCCUAUCAUACAACUGAACCAUUGUGACAAAUCCAUUUCAUUGAAAGUAGAUAAAGCUUUUCUGGUGUACAUCACGGAGACUCACAGGAGAUAUUAUCCAUUUUAACUCAAAGGUUUUAUUGUUUUAUCUUACAAAAAAUACAUCACAAAUUUAAGUUUAAAUCUCUACUUAUAUAUUAUAACAAAUCUUUAAAAUCUUUCGAUAUUUAAUUGAAGUGUCACAAAUUUCAUGUGUUAAAGUUUGAUGUCCCCUUCAAAUCCAAUACAAAAUAUACAAAUUCACCGAAUCACACUAAAUAUGGGGACAAACCUAACACAAAGUACACACAAAUCAUAGAAUUACACCAAACAUUGAGAUUCUAGAAGUGACUCCCACAACGUAGUCUUUAGUUCUCAUUCAACUGGUAAUCAUUCUGAUACCAUUUAAAAAAUUCACAUCUAACAUGUGAGGUAUUGUCUACUUUAAUCUAAAUAUUUUAUGAUUUUAUCUCACAAAAAUUAUCUUACAAAUUAAAAUUUAAAUCUCUACUUAUAUAUUAUAAUAUAUUCUCAAAAUGUCUUGAAAUUAAGGUAUCACAUCUAUAGGGCUGAAAAAGUAGAUAUGCAAAUUUUAAUUGGUGUAAUUUCUUGCGUAUUUAAUUUUGUGGAAAUUAAUUUAUUGAAUUAAUUUAAAAAUAUCCAAUAACCUUGAUUGGAGUAUACGAGUCGAUACCAACCAUAUAAUUUGGGUGUUCAACAUGGUUACUUAUUGAUUGGCUAGAGGCAAUAUAAAAAUAUUAAGCAGCAGGCCUUGAACGGGUGCCAUUAGUGAAACGUAUUGACUACGGCAUGCAUGAAUGCUAAAUUUCCACUCCUUACCUAACCCGAACAACAUUUUUUGCGGUUUACCUUAUUUGACUUGAAAGCUUCUUCCCUAUGUUUCACCUAUAUAUACAUCCUUCGCUCAUCUAAAAAACAAUUCAAAAUCCUUCCCUUGGCAACUCUUCCUAAGAGUGAAUAACGAAAAAAAUGGAGUUGUUUUUCCUCUGUGGUCUCACUCUCUUCAUCCUAUUUGUCUCUUUUUCGCUUUUCUCUCUCUUUUCCUCCACCCGCAAGACAAAUGGUAAUUCCCAGACAAACCUUCCACCUGGUAGAACAGGCUUGCCAAUCAUCGGUGAGAGCCUUGAAUUUCUGUCAAAAGGCCGAAAGGGUCACCCUGAGAAGUUUAUAUACGAUAGAAUGGCCAGGUACUCCUCUCAAGUCUUUAGAACAUCAAUACUAGGAGAACCUACGGCCGUUGUUUGUGGUGCAGCUGGGAACAAAUUCUUGUUCUCUAAUGAAAACAAGCUUGUCACUGCAUGGUGGCCAGACUCCGUAAACAAGAUAUUCCCUUCCUCAACGCAAACAUCUUCCCAAGAGGAAUCCAAGAAGAUGAGGAAACUACUCCCUAAUUUCCUCAAGCCAGAGGCCUUGCAAAGAUAUGUAGGGAUGAUGGAUACUAUUGCACAAAGGCACUUUGAGACUGGUUGGGAAGGGCAUCAAGAAGUAACCGUAUUUCCACUUGCAAAGAACUACACGUUUUGGGUUGCAUGCAAGGUGUUCUUGAGCAUCGAGGAUCCUAAACAUGUAGCGAAAUUUGCUGAACCUUUUAACGUUUUGGCCUCUGGAUUAUAUCAAUUCCCAUCGACUUGCCAGGAACACCUUUCAACCGUGGCAUCAAGGCUUCAAACCUGAUAAGGAAAGAAUUGAGCGCCAUUAUCAAACAAAGGAAGAUUGAUCUUGCAGAGAAAAAAGCAUCUCCUACACAAGACAUACUGUCACAUAUGUUGUUAACAACCGAUGAGAAUGGGCA
rnacentral:lncRNA from 1 species